rnacentral:tRNA from 1 species
GAUGAAGUGCCUGAAAAAAAGGAUUACUUUGAUAGAGUAAAUCAUGUAAUUUUAUUACCUUCAUUA